rnacentral:rRNA from 1 species
UACGAAGGGGGCUAGCGUUGUUCGGAAUUACUGGGCGUAAAGCGCGCGCAGGCGGUUUUCCAAGUCAGUGGUGAAAGCCCGGAGCUCAACUCCGGAACUGCCAUUGAAACUGUGAAACUUGAGUACGAGAGAGGUGAGUGGAAUUCCCAGUGUAGAGGUGAAAUUCGUAGAUAUUGGGAAGAACACCGGUGGCGAAGGCGGCUCACUGGCUCGUAACUGACGCUCAGGCGCGACAGCGUGGGGAUCAAACAGG